UAUGUUUUAGUAUAGGAUGUACAAGGGUUUUUGGUACCCUAGGGGGCGGAUUGAGUCUGUCAAAUGUAA
rnacentral:tRNA from 1 species